AUUGUGUUUAAUGUUCCUUUGCAUAAUAUGGUCUUUACCAAAUGAUGUGUAAUAUUUUUCUUGGGCUCCUUUUUGGGAUGCUUGUAUUAGGGUGCAUAACAUUGAGAUUGCGGGGCUUGGGAUAAAAAAAGAGAAUGUAGGUGAAGCAUGAUUUACAUGGGUGCACACAGCUUCUAAAGCCUUGUGACAAGGCACCAAACGGAAAGGAUUUUGAUUUAGCAGUUGUCACAUAAGCAUAUUCCAUGAGUCAAACAUGGAGGAAAAAAUGGAGCACUUGAAGUAAAAUAAAUAGUUUUGCCAGUUCAUUGUAAUUAAGCAGUCAUGGAGCACUUGAUUUGCUUGUGCCCGGAAAGGUUGGUAUAAGAGUCAGGGGGGUGACAGGUGGAUCCCUUCUGGGACAUGGCAUGGUGGCAAGAUGUGUAAGUUUCCUUGUUAUGUACUAAGGAGUAUGGACAGUCAAGUAAAAAGAUUCCCUAGCAUUCUCUCCUUUUCAGAACAAGCCAGUAUCCAAGGCGCCAAGUAAGGAGGCAAAGUAAAGAGGGCCCUCGUAAUGUCACUCACAUCUCUUCCCAUUAUGGAUUCAGGAAAUCCUGUACUACCGAUGUUUUGGAUGGAAAUACAAUCAAUAUCAUUAUCUUCAAGACAUCAGAUAUAAAGAACACAGAGGGGAAGAGACACCAGGAAUGUGCACACGCACACGGUGAAGACCAACUUGAGGGCACAGAGACAAUGUGACCGUCUCAAGCCAAGGAGACCUCAGGAGAAACCAAACUGCUAAUACCUUGAUCUUGAACUUCCAGUCUCCAGAACGUUUAGGGGAAUCUCGCAACAUCUGAUGUGGUCUUCCUCGGAAGAGAAAGGAAGUUCAACCUAGCAACGUCCGAAAAGAGCAUGCUACGAACACUCAAAAGUGGCAAAUGACCUAGGGGUGGAGCCAUCGAUGUGACAGAUGUGACUGACUCUAGUCUGUUCGGCGGUGUGUCACAGGAUGCUCAGUGUGCCGGGCCUCCCCCACCUUCAUUUCUUUCUUUAAUCAUUUUCAUCUCACAUUUUGAUGAUUUUUCUCAGCCCUUUAAAAGUCUCAUUGAAUCCACUAAUGAACAGAGCACUGAAAAUGUGCUAAUUUGCGAACCUGUGGUCUCAUGGCCAAACUGAUGCUGCCUUUUCCCAGAUGGCAGUCCCAGAAUUGAAAGUGACCGCACACCGUGGUCCUCAGAGGACGGAAAUGCGUUCAUGAGUGAGAAAUGAAAUUGCAAGUUUAUGGAGCGUCGUUUCAUAUCUAGAUGGCCACGUUGUGCCUGGGUCUUUGGUUCAGACAAUUAGCUGCAUUAUUGCUCUGGCAAUAAAUAAAUAAAUAAAUAAGCCUAUUUUGUGAAAUUUUUGGUCUUUCAUGGCAGGCUUUCCUUUUUCCCUGAUGAUGAAAAAUAGCCAAUGCAGAAUUCAUAGAACUGUCAUCAGGACUUUGAGAUAUAGGAUUUGGGAAUACUCAUUCAUUCAAUAACUGUGUACUUGGAAAGAGUAAUGAAGCCUAAAACCCAUUGCUUUGACAUUUAUUUCAGUUAUCUAUUGCUGUGUAGCAAACCCACCGCAGAACUUAGUAGUUUAAAAGAACAUUUAUUUUACGGUCUCACAACUCUGUGGCCUGGGCUGUGCACAGCCGGGGGUUCUUCUGUUACUUCUCCCAGUGGUCACUAGGGUGGCUGAAUACAGCAGGCAGAUUGGCUUGGGGCCAGGCUCGGCUGGAAUUCUGAGAUCGCUGGGCUUCUUUCUCUUUCCAUGUGGUCUCUCCACAUGAUCUCUCCAGCAGGAUAGUCAGACUUCUCUCAUGAUAGCCCAGGCACCUGGCAGCACAAAACAGAAGAUGCUGAGCCCUCUUAAGGCUUAAGCCCAGAACUGGCAUAGCAGAAAUCCACUGUAUUCUUUUGACGAAAGCAGACACACGUCCAGCCCAGAUACAAUGUGGGAGAAGACAUGAGAUAUGAAUACCAAAAGGUGUGGUUCAUUUGGGGCUACCGAUGACACAGAAUAACACAACAGAAGCACCAGGAUCACACACGUGCAUGCACACACAUGCACGCACACGCACAAUGUAUAGGUGAAUAAGUCACAGGGAUAAAGAUAAAAGGUACAGUGUAGGAAAUGUAGUCAAUAGUAUUGUAAUAGCGUUGCAUGGUGACAGAGGGUAGCUACACUGGGGAUGAGCACAGCAUAACAUAUAGAUUUAUUGAAUUACUAUAUUGUACACCUGAAACUAAUGUAACAUCGUGUGUCAACUAUAAUUCAAU